rnacentral:rRNA from 1 species
ACGAACGCUGGCGGCGUGCUUAACACAUGCAGGUCGAACGGAAAGGCCCUGCUUGCAGGGUGCUCGAGUGGCGAACGGGUGAGUAACACGUGGGUGAUCUGCCCCUUACUUUGGGAUAAGCCUGGGAAACUGGGUCUAAUACUGGAUAGGACCAUGCUGUAGGUGGUGUGGUGGAAAGAUUAGUUUCGGUAAGGGAUGAGCUCGCGGCCUAUCAGCUUGUUGGUGGGGUAAUGGCCUACCAAGGCGUCGACGGGUAGCCGGCCUGAGAGGGUGGACGGCCACAUUGGGACUGAGAUACGGCCCAGACUCCUACGGGAGGCAGCAGUGGGGAAUAUUGCACAAUGGGCGCAAGCCUGAUGCAGCGACGCCGCGUGGGGGAUGACGGCCUUCGGGUUGUAAACUCCUUUCAGCCAUGACGAAGCCCUUGUGGUGACGGUAGUGGUAGAAGAAGCACCGGCUAACUACGUG